GAUGAACGCUGGCGGCGUGCCUAAUACAUGCAAGUCGAGCGAACGGACGAGAAGCUUGCUUCUCUGAUGUUAGCGGCGGACGGGUGAGUAACACGUGGAUAACCUACCUAUAAGACUGGGAUAACUUCGGGAAACCGGAGCUAAUACCGGAUAAUAUUUUGAACCGCAUGGUUCAAAAGUGAAAGACGGUCUUGCUGUCACUUAUAGAUGGAUCCGCGCUGCAUUAGCUAGUUGGUAAGGUAACGGCUUACCAAGGCAACGAUGCAUAGCCGACCUGAGAGGGUGAUCGGCCACACUGGAACUGAGACACGGUCCAGACUCCUACGGGAGGCAGCAGUAGGGAAUCUUCCGCAAUGGGCGAAAGCCUGACGGAGCAACGCCGCGUGAGUGAUGAAGGUCUUCGGAUCGUAAAACUCUGUUAUUAGGGAAGAACAUAUGUGUAAGUAACUGUGCACAUCUUGACGGUACCUAAUCAGAAAGCCACGGCUAACUACGUGCCAGCAGCCGCGGUAAUACGUAGGUGGCAAGCGUUAUCCGGAAUUAUUGGGCGUAAAGCGCGCGUAGGCGGUUUUUUAAGUCUGAUGUGAAAGCCCACGGCUCAACCGUGGAGGGUCAUUGGAAACUGGAAAACUUGAGUGCAGAAGAGGAAAGUGGAAUUCCAUGUGUAGCGGUGAAAUGCGCAGAGAUAUGGAGGAACACCAGUGGCGAAGGCGACUUUCUGGUCUGUAACUGACGCUGAUGUGCGAAAGCGUGGGGAUCAAACGGGAUUAGAUACCCUGGUAGUCCACGCCGUAAACGAUGAGUGCUAAGUGUUAGGGGGUUUCCGCCCCUUAGUGCUGCAGCUAACGCAUUAAGCACUCCGCCUGGGGAGUACGACCGCAAGGUUGAAACUCAAAGGAAUUGACGGGGACCCGCACAAGCGGUGGAGCAUGUGGUUUAAUUCGAAGCAACGCGAAGAACCUUACCAAAUCUUGACAUCCUUUGACAACUCUAGAGAUAGAGCCUUCCCCUUCGGGGGACAAAGUGACAGGUGGUGCAUGGUUGUCGUCAGCUCGUGUCGUGAGAUGUUGGGUUAAGUCCCGCAACGAGCGCAACCCUUAAGCUUAGUUGCCAUCAUUAAGUUGGGCACUCUAAGUUGACUGCCGGUGACAAACCGGAGGAAGGUGGGGAUGACGUCAAAUCAUCAUGCCCCUUAUGAUUUGGGCUACACACGUGCUACAAUGGACAAUACAAAGGGCAGCGAAACCGCGAGGUCAAGCAAAUCCCAUAAAGUUGUUCUCAGUUCGGAUUGUAGUCUGCAACUCGACUACAUGAAGCUGGAAUCGCUAGUAAUCGUAGAUCAGCAUGCUACGGUGAAUACGUUCCCGGGUCU
rnacentral:rRNA from 1 species